AUUGAACGCUGGCGGCAGGCCUAACACAUGCAAGUCGAACGAGUGGCGGACGGGUGAGUAAUGUGUGGGAAACUGCCUGAUGGAGGGGGAUAACUACUGGAAACGGUCGCUUAUACCGCAUACUAUCGGAUGCGCCCAGGUGGGAUUAGCUAGGAGGUGGGGUAAAGGCUCACCUAGGCGACGAUCCCUAGCUGGUCUGAGAGGAUGACCAGCCACACUGGAACUGAGACACGGUCCAGACUCCUACGGGAGGCAGCAGGGGGGAAUAUUGCACAAGGGGCGCAAGCCUGAUGCAGCCAUGCCGCGUGUAUGAAGAAGGCCUUCGGGUUGUAAAGUACUUUCAGCGGGGAGGCGUUACCCGCAGAAGAAGCACCGGCUAACUCCGUGCCAGCAGCCGCGGUAAUUC
rnacentral:rRNA from 1 species